rnacentral:rRNA from 1 species
AUUGAACGCUGGCGGCAUGCCUUACACAUGCAAGUCGAACGGCAGCAUGGAAGAGCUUGCUCUUCUGAUGGCGAGUGGCGAACGGGUGAGUAAAGCAUCGGAACGUACCGUGUAGUGGGGGAUAACGUAGCGAAAGUUACGCUAAUACCGCAUACGCACUGAGGUGGAAAGCAGGGGAUCGCAAGACCUUGCGCUAUACGAGCGGCCGAUGUCAGAUUAGCUAGUUGGUAGGGUAAAGGCCUACCAAGGCGACGAUCUGUAGCGGGUCUGAGAGGAUGAUCCGCCACACUGGGACUGAGACACGGCCCAGACUCCUACGGGAGGCAGCAGUGGGGAAUUUUGGACAAUGGGCGAAAGCCUGAUCCAGCCAUGCCGCGUGAGUGAAGAAGGCCUCGGUUGUAAG